rnacentral:lncRNA from 1 species
AUUUGUAAAGACCACUUGUGAAGGAAACUCCAUAACCUCCCUGUGGUGGAGUGUAUUAUUGCUCAGCAAACAUUCAUUCUUCUCUAUUUCCCUCCGUUGGGGGAGCAAACUUCCCCACUCCAUUGAUGAUGGGUCUAGCCAUGUGACUUGUUUUAGCCAAUGGAAUGUAAACAGAGGCUUUAACUCUACUUGCUUGGUUAAGCUUGGUCUCUUGCACCUCUACCCUUUGCCACGAGAAGAGCAUGCCCUUGUCACUUCGGCCUGAGUCCCAGAAUGAGAAGUUACAUGGAGCAGACCUGAACAAGAUUCACAACCUGAACAGAAUCACUGCAGCCAAUCCACAAACCUGUGAGCAAAAAAUAAAUGUUAUAAAUUUCUGAGAUUUUAGAUUAGUUGUUAUGCAGCAUUAUUUUAGUAAAGUUGACUGAUACACUCCCUCAGGUACCUGUUCCACUGAACUUUUGCUGCAAAGUUCUUCAUUGUGUCUAACCUAAAUCCGUCAUACAUUAAUGUAAAGAUCUAUCUCAUUUGUGGUCCAAAUGAGAAAAUUGUCUACAUUCCUGCCUGGGCAUGGUGGCUCAUGCCUGUAAUCCAGCACUUUGGGAGGCCGAGGUGGGCGAGUCACUUGAGUCAGGAGUUCGAGACCAGCCUGGCCAACAUGGUGAAACCCUGCCUCUACUAAAAAUACAAAAAAUUAGCUGAGCAUGGUGGUGCAUGACUGUAAUCCCAGCUACUUGGGAGGCUGGGUCAGGAGAAUCGCUUUAACUGGGAGGUGGAGGUUGCAGUGAGCCAAGAUCACGCCACUGCACUCCAGAGUGGGAAACAGAGCAAGACUCCACCUCAAAAAGAAGAAGGAGAAGGAGAAGGAGAUUAUCUACAUUCCUGAGGAGGAGAAGUUGUACUUAAACUACCUUGAUCCAACUUCCAGCUUUACAAUCAUUGCCCCCCACCAUGCAUAUAUCAUACAUAUAUACCUGCUAGCAUGAAUACCUGCAUCAUAUCUAGAAUUAAUGGGAAUAGUCAUAGGGCCAAUCUUUCUUAUAUCAAGCAAGCUGAACAAGGGUCCAAGGGAUAAGGCCA